rnacentral:ncRNA from 1 species
UGAGAUAGAGGAUGCGCCUGAUGAUGAGUAGCCUCUCUUCAGUCCUGCAGGAUGGAGAGGUGAAAGGCAGGGGCGCCGAAGCUCAGGCCUCGCUGCAGCGAUUCCCGGGCUGGGCGGCAGGAAUAAGAUCUUGCCGACUGUCGCAAGAAUAUUGCGGAGCGCUAUCC